rnacentral:rRNA from 1 species
UUGAAAGGGAAACGAUUGAAGUCAGUCGUACCGACGAGAAAUCAGCCUAUCGUGUGUAAACUUGUGGGCGUGCGUGAGUUUCGGCCUCGCUGUUUGCAUGUUUGUGCUCUUUGGGUGUACCUUUUCGUAUGGUAGGCCAACAUCAGUUUCGAUUACUAUAAAAUGACUGGCGGAAUGUAGCUUCGAUUUCGGUUGAAGUGUUAUAGCCUCUGGUAGAUGUGGUUAUUGGGACCGAGGACUGCAACGAAUAUCCUUUGGGCUAUCCGUCUGGCCUCUGAAAGUUGCUUGGGUGCUGAAAGCUUGCUUAUGGUUAUCUAAGUUAACGGUCAAUAGGUUAGAACGUGAUUACAUUCGUUAAGGAUGUUGACGUA